rnacentral:rRNA from 1 species
GCAGUCGAGCGAAUCGACGGGAGCUUGCUCCCUGAGAUUAGCGGCGGACGGGUGAGUAACACGUGGGCAACCUGCCUAUAAGACUGGGAUAACUUCGGGAAACCGGAGCUAAUACCGGAUACGUUCUUUUCUCGCAUGAGAGAAGAUGGAAAGACGGUUUACGCUGUCACUUAUAGAUGGGCCCGCGGCGCAUUAGCUAGUUGGUGAGGUAAUGGCUCACCAAGGCGACGAUGCGUAGCCGACCUGAGAGGGUGAUCGGCCACACUGGGACUGAGACACGGCCCAGACUCCUACGGGAGGCAGCAGUAGGGAAUCUUCCGCAAUGGACGAAAGUCUGACGGAGCAACGCCGCGUGAACGAAGAAGGCCUUCGGGUCGUAAAGUUCUGUUGUUAGGGAAGAACAAGUACCAGAGUAACUGCUGGUACCUUGACGGUACCUAACCAGAAAGCCACGGCUAACUACGUGCCAGCAGCCGCGGUAAUACGUAGGUGGCAAGCGUUGUCCGGAAUUAUUGGGCGUAAAGCGCGCGCAGGUGGUUCCUUAAGUCUGAUGUGAAAGCCCACGGCUCAACCGUGGAGGGUCAUUGGAAACUGGGGAACUUGAGUGCAGAAGAGGAAAGUGGAAUUCCAAGUGUACG